UACGUAGGGUGCAAGCGUUGUCCGGAAUUAUUGGGCGUAAAGAGCUCGUAGGCGGUCUGUCGCGUCGGCUGUGAAAACCCGAGGCUCAACCUCGGGCCUGCAGUCGAUACGGGCAGACUAGAGUUCGGCAGGGGAGACUGGAAUUCCUGGUGUAGCGGUGAAAUGCGCAGAUAUCAGGAGGAGCACCGGUGGCGAAGGCGGGUCUCUGGGCCGACACUGACGCUGAGGAGCGAAAGCGUGGGGAGCGAACAGG
rnacentral:rRNA from 1 species